UGUUCAAAUACAAAAGUUGCAUGUGGGUUUCUUUGUCUAGGAAAAGUUGCCUAUAGUUUGUUUAAAGCUUGGUUAGGAUGAAGUGUUGUGAGACAGUAGGUAGUUCUGAACAAGCAAUAGCUAAAUUGACUGUUGAAUUUUUAAGAGAUUGAACAGUAGCAUAAAAUGCAGGAGAAGAACAAAAAUUAUGAAAGAACAACUGCAAUUUUUUGAAGCUUAAGAACCUUUACAUAAUGCCUGUUA
rnacentral:misc_RNA from 1 species